rnacentral:rRNA from 1 species
UACGGAGGAUGCAAGCGUUAUCCGGAAUGAUUGGGCGGAAAGCGUCCGCAGGUGGCUAUGUAAGUCUGCUGUUAAAGAGUGAGGCUCAACCUCAUAAGAGCAGUGGAAACUACAUGGCUAGAGUGCGUUCGGGGCAGAGGGAAUUCCUGGUGUAGCGGUGAAAUGCGUAGAUAUCAGGAAGAACACCGGUGGCGAAAGCGCUCUGCUAGGCCGCAACUGACACUGAGGGACGAAAGCUAGGGGAGCGAAUGGG